rnacentral:misc_RNA from 1 species
GUCGUAACAAGGUUUCCGUAGGUGAACCUGCGGAAGGAUCAUUACCACACCAAAUUAAAAACAAACCCCACGUGAAUUUGUACUGUAUUUGUUUUGUGUCUUAGUGUUUUUAUAAACGCUAUGACUAAACGAAGGUUUCGAAAGAAACUGAUGUACCUAUUUAAACCCCUUUUAAAAUUAUUUACUGAUAAAUUAACUGCAGAAAUGAAAAUUUUUGCUCAUAAUUUAAAUACAACUUUCAACAGUGGAUGUCUAGGCUC